GAUCAUGGCUCAGGAUGAACGCUAGCUACAGGCUUAACACAUGCAAGUCGAGGGGCAGCAUGAACUUGGCUUGCUAAGUUUGAUGGCGACCGGCGCACGGGUGAGUAACACGUAUCCAACCUUCCGUUUACUCAGGGAUAGCCUUUCGAAAGAAAGAUUAAUACCUGAUAGUAUGGUGAGAUUGCAUGAUAGCACCAUUAAAGAUUUAUUGGUAAAUGAUGGGGAUGCG
rnacentral:rRNA from 1 species